AGGACGAACGCUGGCGGCGUGCUUAACACAUGCAAGUCGAGCGGAAAGGCUCCUUUCGGGGGGUACUCGAGCGGCGAACGGGUGAGUAACACGUGAGUAACCUGCCCUGGACUUUGGGAUAACCCUCGGAAACGGGGGCUAAUACCGGAUAUGACACGCGGAUGCAUGUUUGUGUGUGGAAAGAUUUUUCGGCUGGGAUGGGCUCGCGGCCUAUCAGCUUGGUUGGUGGGUGAUGGCCUACCAAGGCGACG
rnacentral:rRNA from 1 species